rnacentral:rRNA from 1 species
AGUUGAUCAUGGCUCAGGAUGAACGCUAGCGGCAGGCUUAACACAUGCAAGUCGAGGGGCAGCGGGAUGUAGCAAUACAUUGCCGGCGACCGGCGGAUGGGUGCGUAACGCGUAUGCAACCUACCUUAUACAGGGGAAUAACCUUUCGAAAGGGAGACUAACACCCCAUAGUAUUGAUUUAAGGCAUCUUAGAUUAAUUAAAUAUUUAUAGGUAUAAGAUGGGCAUGCGUAUGAUUAGCUAGUUGGUAAGGUAACGGCUUACCAAGGCGACGAUCAUUAGGGGUUCUGAGAGGAAGGUCCCCCACACUGGUACUGAGACACGGACCAGACUCCUACGGGAGGCAGCAGUGAGGAAUAUUGGUCAAUGGGCGCAAGCCUGAACCAGCCAUGCCGCGUGCAGGAAAGACGGCCUUAUGGGUUGUAAACUGCUUUACAUAAGACUAACCGUAUAUUUGCGAAUAUACCUGAAUGUAUUAUGAGAAUAAGGAUCGGCUAACUCCGUGCCAGCAGCCGC